rnacentral:rRNA from 1 species
CCUACGGGAGGCAGCAGGCGCGGAACCUCCGCAAUACACGAAAGUGUGACGGGGUUACCCAAAGUGUUCAAUUUUGAACUGUGGUAGGUGAGUAAUGUUCCCUACUAGAAAGGCGAGGGCAAGGCUGGUGCCAGCCGCCGCGGUAAAACCAGCUCUUCAAGUGGUCGGGAUAAUUAUUGGGCUUAAAGUAUCCGUAGCCGGUUUAGUAAGUUCCUGGUAAAAUCGGGUAGCCUAACUAUCUGCAUGCUAGGAAUACUGCUAUACUAGAGGACGGGAGAGGUCUGAGGUACUACAGGGGUAGGGGUGAAAUCUUAUAAUCCUUGUAGGACCACCAGUGGCGAAGGCGUCAGACUGGAACGUGCCUGACGGUGAGGGACGAAAGCCAGGGGAGCGAACCGGAUUAGAUACCCCGGUAGUCC